rnacentral:rRNA from 1 species
UGGGGAAUAUUGCACAAUGGGCGAAAGCCUGAUGCAGCAACGCCGCGUGAGUGAUGAAGGCCUUCGGGUUGUAAAGCUCUGUCUUUUGGGACGAUAAUGACGGUACCAAAGGAGGAAGCCACGGCUAACUACGUGCCAGCAGCCGCGGUAAUACGUAGGUGGCAAGCGUUGUCCGGAUUUACUGGGCGUAAAGGAUGCGUAGGCGGAUUUUUAAGUGAGAUGUGAAAACCCUAAGCUUAACUUGGGGACUGCAUUUCAAUACUGGAAAUCUAGAGUGCGGGAGAGGAGAAUGGAAUUCCUAGUAGUAGCGGUGAAAUGCGUAGAGAUUAGGAAGAACACCAGUGGCGAAGGCGAUUCUCUGGACCGUAACUGACGCUGAGGCAUGAAAGCGUGGGUAGCAAACAGGAUUAGAUACCCUGGUAGUCCACGCCGUAAACGAUGAGUGCUAGGUGUAGGAGGUAUCGACCCCUUCUGUGCCGCAGUUAACACAAUAAGUACUCCGCCUGGGAAGUACGAUCGCAAGAUUAAAACUCAAAUGAAUUGACGGGGUCAUAGCUG